CAGUAGCCACGGUAAUACGAAGGGUGCAAGCGUUAAUCGGAAUUACUGGGCGUAAAGCGUGCGUAGGCGGUGAGUUAAGUCUGCUGUGAAAUCCCCGGGCUCAACCUGGGAAUGGCAGUGGAUACUGGCUCGCUAGAGUGUGUCAGAGGAUGGUAGGAUUCCCGGUGUAGCGGUGAAAUGCGUAGAGAUCGGGAGGAACAUCAGUGGCGAAGGCGGCCAUCUGGGACAACACUGACGCUGAGGCACGAAAGCGUGGGGAGCAAACAGGAUUAGAUACCCCCGUAGUCCCUGUCUCUUAUAC
rnacentral:rRNA from 1 species